rnacentral:rRNA from 1 species
UACAUGCAAGUCGAGCGGACUUGAAGAGAAGCUUGCUUCUCGGAUGGUUAGCGGCGGACGGGUGAGUAACACGUAUGCGACCUGCCCUCAAGCUUGGGACAACUACCGGAAACGGUAGCUAAUACCGAAUAGUUGUUUUCUUCUCCUGAAGAAAACUGGAAAGACGGAGCAAUCUGUCACUUGGGGAUGGGCCUGCGGCGCAUUACCUAGUUGGGGGGGUAACGGCUCACCAAGGCGACGAUGCGUAGCCCACCUGAGAGGGUGAUCGGCCACACUGGGACUGAGACACGGCCCAGACUCCUACGGGAGGCAGCGGUAGGGAAUCUUCCGCAAUGGGCGAAAGCCUGACGGAACAGUGCCUCGUGAGUGAUGAAGGUUUUCGGAUCGUAAAGCUCUGUUGCCAGGGAAGAACGCUUGGGAAAGUAACUGCUCUCAAGGUGACCGUACCUGACAAGAAAGCCCCGGCUAACUACAUGCCAGCAGCCGCGGUAAUACGUAAGGGGCAAGCGUUGUCCGGAAUUAUUGGGCGUAAAGCGCGCGCAGGCGGUCAUUUAAGUCUGGUGUUUAAUCCCGGGGCUCAACCCCGGAUCGCACUGGAAACUGGGUGACUUGAGUGCANAAGAGGAGAGUGGAAUUCCACGUGUAGCGGUGAAAUGCGUAGAUAUGUGGAGGAACACCACUGGCGAANGCGACUCUCUGGGCUGUAACUGACGCUGAGGCGCGAAAGCGUGAGGAGCAAACAGGAUUAGAUACCCUGGUAGUCCACGCCGUAAACGAUGAGUGCUAGGUGUUAGGGGUUUCGAUACCCUUGGUGCCGAAGUUAACACAUUAAACACUCCGCCUGGGGAGUACGUCGCAAGACUGAAACUC